rnacentral:rRNA from 1 species
GGUUAAGCGACUAAGCGUACACGGUGGAUGCCCUGGCAGUCAGAGGCGAUGAAGGACGUGCUAAUCUGCGAAAAGCGUCGGUAAGGUGAUAUGAACCGUUAUAGCCGGCGAUGUCCGAAUGGGGAAACCCAGUGCAAUUCGUUGCACUAUCGUUAACUGAAUACAUAGGUUAACGAGGCGAACCGGGGGAACUGAAACAUCUAAGUACCCCGAGGAAAAGAAAUCAACCGAGAUUCCCCCAGUAGCGGCGAGCGAACGGGGAGCAGCCCAGAGUCUGAAUCAGCUUGUGUGUUAGUGGAACGGUCUGGAAAGUCCGACGGUACAGGGUGAUAGUCCCGUACACCAAAAUGCACAGGCUGUGAACUCGAAGAGUAGGGCGGGACACGUGGUAUCCUGUCUGAAUAUGGGGGGACCAUCCUCCAAGGCUAAAUACUCCUGACUGACCGAUAGUGAACCAGUACCGUGAGGGAAAGGCGAAAAGAACCCCGGCGAGGGGAGUGAAAAAGAACCUGAAACCGUGUACGUACAAGCAGUGGGAGCACCUUCGGGUGUGACUGCGUACCUUUUGUAUAAUGGGUCAGCGACUUAUAUUCUGUAGCAAGGUUAACCGUAUAGGGGAGCCGCAGGGAAACCGAGUCUUAACUGGGCGUUAAGUUGCAGGGUAUAGACCCGAAACCCGGUGAUCUAGCCAUGGGCAGGUUGAAGGUUGGGUAACACUAACUGGAGGACCGAACCGACUAAUGUUGAAAAAUUAGCGGAUGACUUGUGGCUGGGGGUGAAAGGCCAAUCAAACCGGGAGAUAGCUGGUUCUCCCCGAAAGCUAUUUAGGUAGCGCCUCGUGAACUCAUCUUCGGGGGUAGAGCACUGUUUCGGCUAGGGGGUCAUCCCGACUUACCAACCCGAUGCAAACUACGAAUACCGAAGAAUGUUAUCACGGGAGACACACGGCGGGUGCUAACGUCCGUCGUGAAGAGGGAAACAACCCAGACCGCCAGCUAAGGUCCCAAAGUCAUGGUUAAGUGGGAAACGAUGUGGGAAGGCACAGACAGCCAGGAUGUUGGCUUAGAAGCAGCCAUCAUUUAAAGAAAGCGUAAUAGCUCACUGGUCGAGUCGGCCUGCGCGGAAGAUGUAACGGGGCUAAACCAUGCACCGAAGCUGCGGCAGCGACACUAUGUGUUGUUGGGUAGGGGAGCGUUCUGUAAGCCUGCGAAGGUGACCUGUGAGGGUUGCUGGAGGUAUCAGAAGUGCGAAUGCUGACAUAAGUAACGAUAAAGCGGGUGAAAAGCCCGCUCGCCGGAAGACCAAGGGUUCCUGUCCAACGUUAAUCGGGGCAGGGUGAGUCGACCCCUAAGGCGAGGCCGAAAGGCGUAGUCGAUGGGAAACAGGUUAAUAUUCCUGUACUUGGUGUUACUGCGAAGGGGGGACGGAGAAGGCUAUGUUAGCCGGGCGACGGUUGUCCCGGUUUAAGCAUGUAGGCUGGUUGUCCAGGCAAAUCCGGAUAAUCAAGGCUGAGGUGUGAUGACGAGGCACUACGGUGCUGAAGUAACAAAUGCCCUGCUUCCAGGAAAAGCCUCUAAGCAUCAGGUAACAUCAAAUCGUACCCCAAACCGACACAGGUGGUCAGGUAGAGAAUACCAAGGCGCUUGAGAGAACUCGGGUGAAGGAACUAGGCAAAAUGGUGCCGUAACUUCGGGAGAAGGCACGCUGGUGUGUAGGUGAAGUCCCUGCGGAUGGAGCUGAGACCAGUCGAAGAUACCAGCUGGCUGCAACUGUUUAUUAAAAACACAGCACUGUGCAAACACGAAAGUGGACGUAUACGGUGUGACGCCUGCCCGGUGCCGGAAGGUUAAUUGAUGGGGUUAUCCGUAAGGAGAAGCUCUUGAUCGAAGCCCCGGUAAACGGCGGCCGUAACUAUAACGGUCCUAAGGUAGCGAAAUUCCUUGUCGGGUAAGUUCCGACCUGCACGAAUGGCGUAAUGAUGGCCAGGCUGUCUCCACCCGAGACUCAGUGAAAUUGAACUCGCUGUGAAGAUGCAGUGUACCCGCGGCAAGACGGAAAGACCCCGUGAACCUUUACUAUAGCUUGACACUGAACAUUGAGCCUUGAUGUGUAGGAUAGGUGGGAGGCUUUGAAGCGUGGACGCCAGUCUGCGUGGAGCCAACCUUGAAAUACCACCCUUUAAUGUUUGAUGUUCUAACGUUGGCCCCUUACCGGGGUUGCGGACAGUGUCUGGUGGGUAGUUUGACUGGGGCGGUCUCCUCCCAAAGCGUAACGGAGGAGCACGAAGGUUAGCUAAUCCUGGUCGGACAUCAGGAGGUUAGUGCAAUGGCAUAAGCUAGCUUGACUGCGAGCGUGACGGCGCGAGCAGGUGCGAAAGCAGGUCAUAGUGAUCCGGUGGUUCUGAAUGGAAGGGCCAUCGCUCAACGGAUAAAAGGUACUCCGGGGAUAACAGGCUGAUACCGCCCAAGAGUUCAUAUCGACGGCGGUGUUUGGCACCUCGAUGUCGGCUCAUCACAUCCUGGGGCUGAAGUAGGUCCCAAGGGUAUGGCUGUUCGCCAUUUAAAGUGGUACGCGAGCUGGGUUUAGAACGUCGUGAGACAGUUCGGUCCCUAUCUGCCGUGGGCGCUGGAGAAUUGAGGGGGGCUGCUCCUAGUACGAGAGGACCGGAGUGGACGCAUCACUGGUGUUCGGGUUGUCAUGCCAAUGGCACUGCCCGGUAGCUAAAUGCGGAAGAGAUAAGUGCUGAAAGCAUCUAAGCACGAAACUUGCCCCGAGAUGAGUUCUCCCUGAGACUUUAAGUCUCCUGAAGGAACGUUAAAGACGAUGACGUUGAUAGGCCGGGUGUGUAAGCGCAGCGAUGCGUUGAGCUAACCGGUACUAAUGAACCGUGAGGCUUAACCUU